rnacentral:rRNA from 1 species
AACCUCCGCAAUGUGAGAAAUCGCGACGGGGGGAUCCCAAGUGCCAUUCUUAACGGGAUGGCUUUUCAUUAGUGUAAAGAGCUUUUGGAAUAAGAGCUGGGCAAGACCGGUGCCAGCCGCCGCGGUAACACCGGCAGCUCUAGUGGUAACAAUUUUUAUUGGGCCUAAAGCGUCCGUAGCCGGUUUAAUAAGUCUCUGGUGAAAUCCUGUAGCUUAACUGUGGGAAUUGCUGGAGAUACUAUUAGACUUGAGACCGGGAGAGGUUAGAGGUACCCUACGGUAGG